rnacentral:rRNA from 1 species
UACGUAGGGUGCGAGCGUUAAUCGGAAUUACUGGGCGUAAAGCGUGCGCAGGCGGUUCGCAAAGUCUGAUGUGAAAGCCCCGGGCUCACCCGAGGACCUGCAUCUCAAACUGCCUGGCUUGAGUAUGGGAGAGGAUGAGGGAAUUCCUGGUGUAGCGGUGAAAUGCGUAGAUAUCAGGAGGAACACCAGUGGCGAAAGCGCUCAUCUGGCCCAAUACUGACGCUGAGGCGCGAAAGCUAGGGGAGCAAACGGG